UCAAGAGUUGGAAGCUCAACUGACUGAGCCACCCAGGUGCCCCCAAAGUAAAGUGUUUUUUAAAAAGUAAAUUGGAUGAUACCACUCCCCGGCUUACAAUCUUCCAGUGGCUUACAAUUUGCCUUUGAAAUAAAAUCCAGGUGACUCUGUGGCUGACAAACCCCCUACCUACCUCUCCAGCCCCAGCUAUGCCAGUCUAGAACUUUCCACCCACGUGGGCUCCUUCUCAUCUCUGCACACAUGCCACUCAAGUCUCCCGGCCUUGCCUUUGUUCCAGCCUCUGUCUGAAAUGCCUCCUCGGAUGUCCCCUCCUUCAUCCUUGCUUGUUUCCUUCUUUUUUCUCAAAUCUCAGCUAAAGCAAUGCCAUCUCCGAGGGCCUGCCUGACUGCUGUAUCUAAUGAGUGCUCCACCCCCAUUUCUUCUGGACACAUCCUCUUUGUUUUCUUCACAGGACUUUUCUCCAUCGGAAAUUACAUCUUUACUAGUUUGCCUGUGUAUUAUUGCUCUGUCCCACUAAACUCUAAAUUCUAUUGAGGGCAAGGACUAUAUCUGUUCUCAUGUACCAACCAUAGACCUGACGUCUGGUACAAAGUAGGCCAUCAGUAAAUAUUUGAUGAAUGAAUGAAUGAAUGAAUGAAUGAAUGAAUGAAGUGCAUCUGGCUAGCAAAUGGUGAAAGUAGGAUUCAAACCCUGUAUGACUCUAGAAUCUGCGUUCUGUACCAUUAUGCUGUGAGCAAAAUGAAUCUGUCUUCGGUGGCACUGUAAUGUGAAAUGAAUUUUAUUAUAAAAAUCUAAAACUCUUUUGACAUGGGGUAAUCCAUAUGAGAACCCUUCAGUGACAACACAGUGCUCGGCUGGCCUCUGUCCUCCCAAUGAACAGUGCGGCUGGACGGCGUGAAGCAUGGCACGUUGGCAUGUUGCUUACUGAGAUGCCCAGACAAGGUCCCCUGCAGUGACUCUUUCAACUCGAUCAAAUACUCUGUGAAAUCAGAUAAAACGACUUCGGGAAAGUUACUUAACCUCUUCCGACCGCUGGUCCUUCAUCUACAAAAUAGUGAAACAACUAUUUCGUGGGAUUGCUUAGGAGGACUAAAGGAAAUCAUAGAUGAAACGCCCUCCCCGCAGCGUGAGUCUAAGGAGUACUUUUCGGAAUCACACAGUGACACUGCGCAGUGAAGGUGAACUUCGUCGUAAUCCCCAAUGAACUUGAAGACAGUGACGUGAAAGCGACAGGUUAGGGAGACGGCGUUCUCCUCGAUGCCAAUGGUGUUAUCUUUAAUGUUCUGGCACCUAUGCAGGAGAAAAUGGAAUCUUUGCUUCACACACUGGCUUCCGCUUCAUAUAAAACUGUCAUGAUAGGUCACAAAGCCCUCAUGUGCCAGGGGCUCUCUCCUGCAGGAAAGGAGCAUCCUUAUCUCCAAAGACAGAGGGACACCAAGAAGAACGCUAACUAAGAGGCUUUGCUAAGUUCCCCCAGUUUACUACACUUACCCAUACACUUUGCCCUCCCCUCCUUCUCCGUGGCUGUCCCUCUUUGUCUAACCUAGCAGAAAACACUCAGGCUCGACCACUUCUUUAUGUCCCCAUUUCCUUAUGGAAGUUUCUGCGCUUCCUAUAUGAAAUAAAUGUGUAUGCUUCUCUCUUGUUAGCCUGUCUUUAAUUUUCACAGCCAGCCAGAACUACUGUUACUUGACAUAACCCUUUUUU